ACCGCUGCUGCCAGCCCCGGGACCACCGGCGGCCACCCCUCGCGUCGUUUUUAGUCCUAGCUUGGCUCAGUCUCUGUCUUGGCUGUGUGCUUGGCGACGGAAGAACCCCUUUCGGGUCUUCACUUGGGUGGUGCUUCUGGGCGGCAAGACCGUGGUCGAGCGACCCGGACCUUGUCCCCGUCUUUUCUUCUUCUUCUUCUUUGUGGCCGCGGUUCCAGGCGCGACCAUCCAUCCUGCAAAAGGUCACGGCGCCCGCCACGCAAGAAUUGCACCGUCCUUGAGUAUUGACAGCAGA